rnacentral:lncRNA from 1 species
UUUCUAAAUUGAAAGACAUGGUGUUGAUUUGCCUCCUCUCGUUUGCUCAGUUCUUCUACGGUUCUUGUAGUUAGAAAGAUGUCUGGACAUCUGGGGACUACAUGUCGUUGUUGUGGACUGGCUUGGCAGCGAGAGUGGGACUCGCGCCUUCUUACCCUUUUUAAUGAAAUAAAUAAGACAACUCAAUUUGCUGGUUGGAACAAGGAUUGUAAAUGUAAUGUACGGGCAGUAGACUUAUAUUUGCUUUUAUAGUCACUACUCAUUACCCGACAUUCUUGUUCCCCAGACAAGAUUGAGCGUCUUUUGUAAACGAUGGAAUGUGUUGCCAAAACUUAUAUUGCUUCGUAAUAUGCAAAAUGUAUUUAUUUGUUUUUGAAAAGCAUUUGGACUUUUAUUUCUUAAAUUAAAUGAAAUAAUAUUUUUGGAAGAAUUUCAAUUUCCGAUCUCUAUUAUAAUUGAUAAUUAAAGAUUUGUUAAAUUUUAAUUAAUAUCUUGUGUACGUCAAUCUUCGUAUCUAAACUUUUUGAUUGGUUAUUAAUAGCAUUCUUGUGUGCCUAAAUGUAUUACUGAAUAUUCAUGAUGCUGUAGUAUCUACAAAUUCUGUGAAUAUGGUUAUAACCUUGGAUGUAAUAUCAAUUCGACAUACAUCUGUCCGUCGACCUAGCAACCUUCUAAACGCGUGCCAAAUACUUAAUGAGGUUCUUGAUUUGUACUAUUUUUGCUUAUCAUGCAUCUAAGAUAAUGCUUGUUAUUCGCUAUCUUCUUUAUGUGUUUUCUUCUUACUUUAUUUUCCUAUAUCAACGAAUCAUUUGACAUUCAUAUUCUCUUUUUACUUUUAACUGACUUAGUAAAUUAGAAAUAUAUAAUUUUUGUUUUAAAAAGCUCUAUUUUAUUUCAAUUUCUAAUUAUUUCUAAAAGUGUCCUAAAUCCUUUCAUAACAUUACCCCCUUGUUAAGUUUGAAAUCUCCUGAUUUCAUUUUUUGCAAAUUGUUUUGAAUAUAACUUUAAAUUUUGAAUCUUUUUAAUUGUGAUUGAUUUAAUUUUUCCUAUGAAUUGUUUUUGCAAUAAAUGAAACACAAAUACACAUAUACACAAAAAUAAACAAUGCAUGCACAAUAAAGAAAAUAAUAUAACAAUCAAAUAGUGCCGAUCUUCUUCCGUGGAACAAAAGUCCACCUGCGAAAUAUUGGAGAUCUGUCUCUGGAUGUACUCCAACACGCGAAAAUAAUUCAUAUGGAGAUCUGUGUCUUAUGUACUCCAUAUGCAAGUGAAUAAAAUAACAUAUUCUCUCUCUCUUUCUUUGUCAUUUAAAUUAUAGUGAUUCAAAUUUAACCUGAUUGUUAUAGAGUUUUUAUUGAUCAUGUUUUUACUUAUUUUUGUAUUUAUACACGAAGAUUGGACUUGAUUGUAUGAAUUCCACCAGAUUUUUAUAAUUUUUACAAUUUUUUUUUUUUUUUUUUUUUUCUUCUACUUCAUUGAUUUUGUUUUUAUUUUUAUUAUUUUUAAUUCUUUAAUUUUUCUACCCUCCUUUAUGUGUGUUAUAAAUUGUAUUAUAAUCUUUAUCAAAUAAAUGUAGGUUAUUAUUAUUCUGAUUUGUUAUGAAAGUUAAAUUAGUUAUAUAUCUAUAUGACAGAUUGUUCAGAAAUCUCAACCUGUUUCUGAAGGCAAACUGCCAGUUUAGAAAAAUCUUAUCUUGAUUGCUCUCGCGUGCCAAAAAAUAUAUAUAGUGAUGAUUAACUAUCAAAACAUAUGUUUUCAUAACUCUCUGACCAUCUUACAUUACUUUCUUAUUAACAAGGUAUUAACGCAUGUUCAAUUGUCUGACAAAUAUUUACUAUAAUAAUGAUCUCUGUUAUAAAUUUAUUUAGUUUCAUUUUACUCUCUAUUUUUGUUAUGAAUAUAUCUUAUCUUUAAUAUAUUUAUAUAUAUAUAUCCUUGUCGACUUAGUUUUUUAAUAAUAGUCUUUUAUUUGAACAACUACAACAAAAACAAAAAGGAUAUGCUGCAAUCAUGUAAGCAUCAUUUUUAGAGUGAUUUAAUCAUUUAUUUUGCCUACCCGAGUAGACUAGUACCUUUGAGCAAGUGGCCUGGGGCUCUUAUUUUUGCUCUUUAGUUGGGAUUUUGUCUCGUCGACAUUUUCCCUCGAUAAGAAAUAUCUUCCCUCAUUGUUUAUAAUGGGGAACCAAAUAUUUGAAACCUAAUAUUACGAUCAACUGCACUCAUUUUGAUGUUUAAAAAGGACCUCGUUCAAGAUACCUUUUAUUUGAACCAUAUCUCCUUAAGUAAUUGUUCAUGUUCAUGUUUAUUUUUACCUAUGACUUCAUACUUUGCGAAUACUAAAAAUAUCUGUUACUUCAGAUUUUUAUUUUGGUAAAGACUAAGCAAUCGAUUUUUAAGAAUAUAAUGUUAUAAUUUAAUGUCAG